rnacentral:rRNA from 1 species
AUUGAACGCUGGCGGCAGGCCUAACACAUGCAAGUCGAACGGAGUGGCGGACGUGUGAGUCAUGGAUGGGAAACUGCCUGAUGGAGGGGGAUAACUACUGGAAACGGUAGCUAAUACCGCAUACUAUCAGAUGAGCCUCGGUCGGAUUAGCUAUUUGGUGGGGUAAAAGCCUACCAAGGCGACGAUCCGUAACUGGUCUGAGAGGAUGAUCAUUAACCCUGGAACUGAGACACGGUCCAGACUCCUACGGGAGGCAGCAGUGGGGAAUAUUGGACAAUGGGCGAAAGCCUGAUCCAGCCAUGCCGCGUGUGUGAAGAAGGUCUUCGGAUUGUAAAGCACUUUAAGUUGGGAGGCGUUACCAACAGAAUAAGCACCGGCUAACUUCGUGCCAGCAGCCGCGGUAAUUC